rnacentral:rRNA from 1 species
AGUCGUAACAAGGUUUCCGUAGGUGAACCUGCGGAAGGAUCAUUAAAGAGUAAGGGUGCUCAGCGCCCGACCUCCAACCCUUUGUUGUUAAAACUACCUUGUUGCUUUGGCGGGACCGCUCGGUCUCGAGCCGCUGGGGAUUCGUCCCAGGCGAGCGCCCGCCAGAGUUAAACCAAACUCUUGUUAUUAAACCGGUCGUCUGAGUUAAAAUUUUGAAUAAAUCAAAACUUUCAACAACGGAUCUCUUGGUUCUCGCAUCGAUGAAGAACGCAGCGAAAUGCGAUAAGUAAUGUGAAUUGCAGAAUUCAGUGAAUCAUCGAAUCUUUGAACGCACAUUGCGCCCCUUGGUAUUCCGAGGGGCAUGCCUGUUCGAGCGUCAUUACACCACUCAAGCUAUGCUUGGUAUUGGGUGCCGUCCUUAGUUGGGCGCGCCUUAAAGACCUCGGCGAGGCCUCACCGGCUUUAGGCGUAGUAGAAUUUAUUCGAACGUCUGUCAAAGGAGAGGACUUCUGCCGACUGAAACCUUUUAUUUUUCUAGGUUGACCUCGGAUCAGGUAGGGAUACCCGCUGAACUUAAGCAUAUCAUAAAAGUCG